rnacentral:rRNA from 1 species
AGAGUUUGAUCCUGGCUCAGAUUGUACGCUGGCGGCACGCCUAACACAUGCAAGUCGAGCGCGUUCACAAUACUGCUUGCUACUUUGCUGACUAUCGUGUGACAGUCUGACCUUUGCUUGUGAACUUGCCUUGAAGUGUUGGACUCAUACUGGAAACGACCUUGUUAAUACCGCAUAUUGUCUCACCGACCAGAGGGGGCUUCCGCUCUCUCCUUUAUAUUGGACCUAGUGGCGUAUUCCUAGCUUGGUUAGGUAAUGUGCUCACCAAAGCAACACUCCCUACCUGGUUUGUGAGGCAUCGAUCCCCCACUCCUGCACUGAGCACACGGUCCAGACUCCUGCGGGUGGCAGCAAACGCCGAAUGUUGCACUGUGGCCUGAAUCCUGAUGGCCUCUUGCCUCGUGUGUCUUUCAGGCCUUCAGGAUGUGACUGCUUUCGAUCAAGAGGGAACGGUGUGAUUCUUUACCUCACAUCUGUGACUUUACUGACACAUAACGCACCUCCUAACUCCUUGCCUUCAACCGCUCUUAUGCGGAUGGUGCAGAUCGAUGGUCAAAUUUACUGCUCGUCCUUCGUACUCCGCUGUUUGUUUUUCGCUAUGUGUAUAGACCCCGGACUCUGCCUGUUCUCUGCGAUUUCGUACUGUUCAAUCUAUAUUGUGAUAGAACGCCGGUUGAAUUUCCAGCGUACUGGUUCAUUGCUUACACAUCUGAAGGAAUACCUAUGGCGACGGCAGCCACCUGGAUCAAUACUGACGCUCAUGUGCGAAAGCGUGGGGAGCGAAGAGGAUUAGAUACCCUGGUAGUCCAUGCCGUAAACGAUGUGUGCUAGAAGCUCGGAACAUAGGUUUUGUUGUUGCAAGGUAAGCCAUUAAGUAGCCGGCUUGGGAAGUAGGGCCGCAAGGUUAAAAUUCAAAGGAAUGGACGGGGGCCGGCCCAAGCGGUGGAGCAUGUGUUUAAAUUGGAUAUAACGGGAAGACCUUUACAUCCACUGGCCAGAUAGAGAAGAUUCUAGAGAUAGAGUGGUGCCAUCUGGAAUUGUGAUACAGCUGGUGCAUGGCGGUUGUCAUCUGGUGUUGUGAGAUGAUGGGGUAAGUAGUGCAGCGAGGGCAACACCUAUCACUAGUAGUUAGCAGGUAAUAGUGAGACAUUUAAGGAGAAUUCCCAUGAUUAACCGGAAGAAGGUGGGGGAGGAGUCAAGUUCUCCUGGCCCUUUAGUGGAUGGGUACCCCAGUGGUACAAUGGAGCAUACAGAGGGGAAGGAACUAGCGAGAUUAAAGGCAUUACUUAAAAUGUGUCGUAGUCCGGAUUGCAGUCUGCAACUCGAGUGCAUGAAGUCGGAAUCGCUAGUAAUCGCGUAUCAGAAUGACGCGGUGAAUACGUUCCCGGGCCUUGUACACACCGCCCGUCACACCAUGGAAGUGGGUUGCUCCAGAAGUCGAUUGUUUAACCUUCGGGAGGCAGUUGACCACGGAGUGAUUCACGACUGGGGUGAAGUCGUAACAAGGUAACC